rnacentral:rRNA from 1 species
ACUGAAUAGAUACCCUGGUAGUCCACGCCGUAAACGAUGGAUGCUAGCUGUUAUAGGUAUCGACCCCUGUAGUAGCGAAAGCUAACGCGUUAAGCAUCCCGCCUGUGGAGUACGGUCGCAAGACUAAACAUAAAGGAAUUGACGGGGACCCGCACAAGCGGUGGAGCGUGUUGUUUAAUUCGAUGGUAAACGAAGAACCUUACCCAGGUUUGACAUCCUUGGAAUUUCUCCGAAAGGAGAGAGUGCUUUAUUGAGCCAAGUGACAGGUGAUGCAUGGCCGUCGUCAGCUCGUGUCGUGAGAUGUUUGGUUAAGUCCAUCAACGAGCGCAACCCUUGUGAUUAGUUGAAUUUUUCUAAUCAGACUGCCCUGGUAACAGGGAGGAAGGAGGGGAUGAUGUCAGGUCAGUAUUUCCCUUACAUCUGGGGCUACAACACGCUACAAUGGCCGGUACAAAGGGCAGCCAAGUCGCGAGACGGAGCAAAUCCCAUCAAAGCCGGUCUCAGUUCGGAUUGCAGGCUGAAACUCG